AUGCCUGAUCCAGCCAUGCCGCGUGUGUGAAGAAGGUCUUCGGAUUGUAAAGCACUUUAAGUUGGGAGGAAGGGCAGUAAGUUAAUACCUUGCUGUUUUGACGUUACCAACAGAAUAAGCACCGGCUAACUUCGUGCCAGCAGCCGCGGUAAUACGAAGGGUGCAAGCGUUAAUCGGAAUUACUGGGCGUAAAGCGCGCGUAGGUGGUUCAGCAAGUUGGAUGUGAAAUCCCCGGGCUCAACCUGGGAACUGCAUCCAAACUACUGAGCUAGAGUACGGUAGAGGGUGGUGGAAUUUCCUGUGUAGCGGUGAAAUGCGUAGAUUAGGAAGGAACACCAGUGGCGAAGGCGACCACCUGGACUGAUACUGACACUGAGGUGCGAAAGCGUGGGGAGCAACAGGAUUAGAUACCCUGGUAGUCCACGCCGUAACAUGUCACUAGCCGUUGGGAUCCUUGAGAUCUUAGUGGCGCACUAGCGAUAGUCGACCGCCUGGGGAGUACGGCCGCAGGUUAAACUCAAUGAAUUGACGGGGGCCCGCACAAGCGGUGGAGCAUGUGGUUUAAUUCGAAGCACGCGAAAAUUACCUGGCCUUGACAUGCUAGAACUUUCCGAGAUGAUUGGUGCCUUCGGGGAACUCACACACACGUGCUGCACGGUUGUUGGGUCCA
rnacentral:rRNA from 1 species